rnacentral:rRNA from 1 species
CUAGGUCGGGGACAACCACUGGAAACGGUGGCUAAUACCGGAUAAGCCGUGAGGUAAAAGAUUUAUUGCCUAGAGAUGAGCUCGCGUCUGAUUAGCUAGUUGGUGUGGUAAGAGCGCACCAAGGCGACGAUCAGUAGCUGGUCUGAGAGGAUGAUCAGCCACACUGGGACUGAGACACGGCCCAGACUCCUACGGGAGGCAGCAGUGGGGAAUUUUCCGCAAUGGGCGAAAGCCUGACGGAGCAAUACCGCGUGAGGGAGGAAGGCUCUUGGGUUGUAAACCUCUUUUCUCAAGGAAUAAGAAAGUGAAGGUACUUGAGGAAUAAGCAUCGGCUAACUCCGUGCCAGCAGCCGCGGUAAUACGGAGGAUGCAAGCGUUAUCCGGAAUGAUUGGGCGUAAAGGGUCCGCAGGUGGCAUUGAAAGUCUGCUGUUAAAGAGUGAGGCUUAACCUCAUAAAAGCAGUGGAAACUACAAAGCUAGAGUGCGUUCGGGGUAGCAGGAAUUCCUGGUGUAGCGGUGAAAUGCGUAGAGAUCAGGAAGAACACCGGUGGCGAAAGCGUGCUACUAGGCCGUAACUGACACUGAGGGACGAAAGCUAGGGGAGCGAAUGGGAUUAGAUACCCCAGUAGUCCUAGCCGUAAACGAUGGAUACUAGGCGUGGCUUGUAUCGACCCGAGCCGUGCCGGAGCUAACGCGUUAAGUAUCCCGCCUGGGGAGUACGCACGCAAGUGUGAAACUCAAAGGAAUUGACGGGGGCCCGCACAAGCGGUGGAGUAUGUGGUUUAAUUCGAUGCAACGCGAAGAACCUUACCAAG